UACGUAGGGUGCAAGCGUUGUCCGGAAUUAUUGGGCGUAAAGGGCUCGUAGGCGGUCCGUCACGUCGGGAGUGAAAACUUGGGGCUUAACCCCAAGCCUGCUUCCGAUACGGGCGGACUAGAGGUAGGCAGGGGAGAACGGAAUUCCUGGUGUAGCGGUGAAAUGCGUAGAUAUUGGGAGGAACACCAGUGGCGAAGGCGGCUACCUGGACCGGUUCUGACGCUGAUGCGCGAAAGCGUGGGUAGCAAACAGG
rnacentral:rRNA from 1 species